GAGCCGGGAGCCCGCCUCCUGCACCCAUUGAAAGAGCCCUGUCGGCGUCAGACUGAGUUUUUCUGGAACCAAGAGGUUGACCUUGCGAGGAGAGGGCAGCGCUUGCAGAACCCUAAAAACGACUCCCUGGAGGUGUCACCGGGCAUUCAGAGAGCGGGUGUUUUGAGAUGAAAAGGGGUCAGCCAAAAUGGCAUUCAGAGUCUUGCUGCAUCACGAAUCUGCUGAAACAGUAAAAAGAAAUUAAA